rnacentral:tmRNA from 1 species
CCCCUUUCCACGCGGCCCUUAAACACCUAUAUCAACCCUGUUCCGGCAACGGGACUAUGGACAUAAACGCGCUCGUAAUAAGCGGAUCGGACCCGGGGGCGGUACCCGGCGGCUCCACCAAUAUCCCGUCGUUGGCGGACAGAGGGGCCGAAAUAGGAUCGACGAACGUCUAAAGGGGUUAGCUUUGUCCCGGUGAGGUACCACCGUUAUCGGUCCGACAAGUACAGUUGCCAACGACAACCGUGCUCCGGUCGCGCUCGCAGCCUAAGCUGCGCGCAAGAUCGAAACUUAAGCCCUUGCGCCUAGCCGCGUAAGGCGGGGUUCGCAGGCACCUGGCAACAGAAGCCUGCACU